GAUGAACGCUGGCGGCGUGCCUAAUACAUGCAAGUCGAGCGAACAGAUCAUGCGCUUGCUCCUCUGACGUUAGCGGCGGACGGGUGAGUAACACGUGUAUAACCCACCUAUAAUACUGGGAUAACUUCGGGAAACCGGAUCUAAUACCGGAGAAGCUAUUGAACCGCAUGGUUCAAUAGUGAAAGACGGUUUUGCUGUAACUUAUAGAUGGAUCCGCGCCGCAUUAGCUAGUUGUUAAGGUCACAGCUUACCAAGGCAACGCUGCGUAGCCGACGUGAGAGGGUGAUCGGCCACACUGGAACUGGGCCACGGUCCAGACUCCUACGGGAGGCAGCAGUAGGGAAUCUUCCGCAAUGGGCGAAAGCAUGACGGAGCAACGCCGCGUGAGUGAUGAAGGUCUUCGGAUCGUAAAACUCUGUUAUUAGGGAAGAACAAAUGUGUAAGUAACUAUGCACGUCUUGACGGUACCUAAUCAGAAAGCCACGGCUAACUACGUG
rnacentral:rRNA from 1 species